GAGAGAGACAUGCGCGCAUAUCAAUAAGCGGAGGAAAAGAAACUAACUAGGAUUCCCUCAGUAACGGCGAGUGAAGCGGGAAGAGCUCAAAUUUGAAAUCUUCAAGGUUCUACCUUGACGAAUUGUAGUUUAAAGAAGUGUUUUCUGUUGGAGUUUUGGUAAAAGUUCUUUGGAAUAGGACAUCAUAGAGAGUGAGAAUCCCGUAUUUGACCAUUAUUUCCAGCUUUGUGAUACACUUUCAAAGAGUCGGAUUGUUUGGGAAUGCAGUCCAAAAUGGGUGGUAAAUUUCAUCUAAAGCUAAAUAUUGGCGAGAGACCGAUAGCGAACAAGUACCGUGAGGGAAAGAUGAAAAGAACUUUGAAAAGAGAGUUAAACAGUACGUGAAAUUGUCAAAAGGGAAGCGUUUGACACCAGUGUUGUUUUCUCGAAAAUCAAUUAAAAAAGGCAGGAUUUUGUGUUGUAUUGACUUUAUCAGCUUUCUGCACUCUUUUCUUGUCUUUUUUAAUGCACUUUUCGUUUAACAAGUCAACAUCAAUUUCUUUUGUUGUAAAAGGGUCAUUGGAAGGUGGCUUUCCUUUCGGAGAAAGUGUUUAUAGCCUUUGGCCUCUGCAAUCGGAGAGAUUGAGGUCUGCAGCGUAGAUCCUUCGGGGUUAGAUACAUUUGUGCUAAGUUAUAGCCUUUCAUAGACAACUUGUUGACUAUGAUUAGUCAUUGUAGCUUACUCGCUUAUGUUAUUUUACCUACGCUUAGGAUGUUGAUGUGAUACUGCGAGCA
rnacentral:rRNA from 1 species